rnacentral:rRNA from 1 species
GUAGGGUCUCUCUGGCCCGACCUCCCAACCCUUUGUCUACUUGACCAUCGUUGCUUCGGCGAGCCCGUCCUCACGGACCGCCGGAGGGACCUUCACCGGCCCUCUGGUCCGCGCUCGUCGGUAGCCCAACCAUUAAAAUCUUUAACCAAACGUGCCUUAAUCUAAGUACAAUUAUUAAAUAAAAGCAAAACUUUCAACAACGGAUCUCUUGGUUCUGGCAUCGAUGAAGAACGCAGCGAAAUGCGAUAAGUAAUGCGAAUUGCAGAAUUCCAGUGAGUCAUCGAAUCUUUGAACGCACAUUGCGCCCUUUGGUAUUCCGAAGGGCAUGCCUGUUCGAGCGUCAUUAUCACCCCUCAAGCCCCUGGCUUGGUGUUGGACGGUUUGGUGGAGGCCCCCUCGGGGGCUCCUGCCCCUCCCAAAGACAAUGACGGCGGCCUCGUUGGACCCCCGGUACACUGAGUUCUUCACGGGACACGUAUCGGAUACAUGGGUUUACGGGACACGGUCUGCCUCCCCUCAGGGAGAAUCUUUCUAAGGUUGACCUCGGAUCAGGUAGGGAUACCCGCUGAACUUAAGCAUAUCAAUAAGCGGAGGGAAAAGAA